rnacentral:rRNA from 1 species
UACAGAGGUGGCAAGCGUUACUCGGAAUUAUUGGGUGUAAAGGGCAGGUAGGUGGCUUGGUAAGUGAGAGGUGAAAUCCUGCGGUUCAAUCGCAGAACUGCCUUUCAAACUGCCUGGCUUGAGAGCGACAGAGGAAGACGGAAUUCCCGGUGUAAGGGUGAAAUCUGUAGAUAUCGGGAAGAACACCAACGGCGAAGGCAAUCUUCUGGGUCGCUUCUGACACUGAGCUGCGAAAGCUAGGGGAGCAAACAGA